UUUGCCUUCCUUCGCUGGCCGGCCGUUGCCAAUGCACCAUGCGGACUUCAUGGCGGACAUCAUGACGCAGGCUGCGCCGCAGCGGAUCUUAAAUACGCGAAUUCUUACAGACCUUGACAAUUAUCAGCAAUUAAUCCCUGGCGCUAAAACGUUCAAAAUACGAAAACAAUUUUGGUUUCGGCGCUCCUUAGUGCCGCUAGUGGAAACACCGUCACACUAAGUCCACACUAGCACAUAGUGUACCGGAGAUAGUGUUCGGACAAGUGGAAACACCCUGUUAGUGUACGGGGUGUUUCCACUAGGCAUUACGGUUCUCCGCCAGGAGUGCCCCAACCGCCAAUUUGUUUGAUGAAUAUUUUCUACUAUCAUUAGUAGUAUCAAUAUAUGCAUUUAGAACGGCGAGAGACGAGUCCAGGACGAAGAACAUUCAAACUUAGUGUUAGUGUUCGGCCAAGUGGAAACACCCUGUAAGUCCCUUACCAAAAUACCCUACCUUACCUUUUAUUCAUUUAUGAAAUAUAUCCACAAUUUUACUUGGACAAGCUGUUCAAGGCGUUGUUGUGUACAUUCUAUAUAUCGGAUUCAGGCACAGCAAUUAUGCUAGGGCGCAGCAUUGUAUUCUUAAUCGUUCCAGGAUUGAUCCCGACAAAGAGUGGGAUAUGGAUCCCCUGAGGGUGGAUGCACCCCCAUGCCGAAGGACGGUGAUGGACCCCGUUACAGGGACCUGCGAGCCUGUGCGAGCCGACCAGGAGCGGGCGCUGCUGAAGCAUUGAUGACGGCUGCUGCCCUUCUGCGAACCGCAUUUCAUUCUUGGGUGCGGGUGCAGCGUUCUGAAUCACAUCUGUACACAUCUGUGAUUCUGCUGGGGUGUUGGGCGUCGUUUGUCCUACACCUGAAUCGGCUAGCUGCGCGUGUCGUAGCUUGGGAAGACUUCCUGUAUCCUCUGGGGGAAGCUGUGGAGGAAUACGUAGGAUACAUUUACGUGUGAUGCCGAUUGCCCAUUAUGUAUUAAAUGCCGCUAGUGGUCGUUCCGUGCAUGAGGGGGUCCCCUUGCUUGCCUGUCGUGCUUGCUUAUCGGCACGUUGAGAGGCCUGGCCAUCGCUUGACACGCUUGGCUCCUCAGAACAAAAGAUAAGUAGUCGCUGACAGCAUAGAGCUCACAGUCACUACCAUAUGGUUAGCUACCUGGACUAAGCCGCUGCGUAUGUCAAAGCAAUGCCUUCUGAUGGACGGUUUGCCUGUAAAAGGCUUGCUUGUCGUGCUCGCUCGUAGCAAAAGCUAUUUGCUGGGUCUUCGCGACGUGUAAGAAGGGUUGUCCCGCGCGUUGAUUGGGCAGGGGUUGCAACAGGACAAGCAGCGCGUGGGUUUCUUGCUGCCAGGUCCUCGGGCAUGUGUGCUUAAUAAAGCGAAACUCUUUAAGGCCUCCUUACGUGGCUUUACGUCUUAUCUUAAUAAUUCAACGCCCUAACCUAGUAGUUCACAUCGCGAGGUGAAGACACCAAUCUAAACGGGAGCAGGUUGCUGGAGAUCUCCUGCUUUAGCCCAAGAUAUGCAAGCGAUGCAAAUAAGAAUCUCGACACAGAACCUUCGAGACGUUUGAGCUUCAGGGUCAAACCCCAGUGCCCAGUCCUUGUUCCACGCAUCACGGUGAUGAGGCUGCAUCGAAUUCAAAUUCGGCCUUACCAGCUAAACACUAGAUAGUAGAUAAAUUUGCACAAGCGCUUGCAAUU
rnacentral:lncRNA from 1 species